rnacentral:tRNA from 1 species
GCGCAUGUAGCUCAGUGGAUAGAGCGUCUGUUUCCGGAGCAGAAAGUCACAGGUUCCAACCCUGUCCAGCGCG